rnacentral:rRNA from 1 species
UGCGCGGCCUACACAUGCAGUCGAGCGGUAGAGAGAAGCUUGCUUCUCUUGAGAGCGGCGGACGGGUGAGUAAUGCCUAGGAAUCUGCCUGGUAGUGGGGGAUAACGUUCGGAAACGGACGCUAAUACCGCAUACGUCCUACGGGAGAAAGCAGGGGACCUUCGGGCCUUGCGCUAUCAGAUGAGCCUAGGUCGGAUUAGCUAGUUGGUGGGGUAAUGGCUCACCAAGGCGACGAUCCGUAACUGGUCUGAGAGGAUGAUCAGUCACACUGGAACUGAGACACGGUCCAGACUCCUACGGGAGGCAGCAGUGGGGAAUAUUGGACAAUGGGCGAAAGCCUGAUCCAGCCAUGCCGCGUGUGUGAAGAAGGUCUUCGGAUUGUAAAGCACUUUAAGUUGGGAGGAAGGGCAGUUGCCUAAUACGUAACUGUUUUGACGUUACCGACAGAAUAAGCACCGGCUAACUCUGUGCCAGCAGCCGCGGUAAUACAGAGGGUGCAAGCGUUAAUCGGAAUUACUGGGCGUAAAGCGCGCGUAGGUGGUUUGUUAAGUUGGAUGUGAAAUCCCCGGGCUCAACCUGGGAACUGCAUUCAAAACUGACUGACUAGAGUAUGGUAGAGGGUGGUGGAAUUUCCUGUGUAGCGGUGAAAUGCGU